rnacentral:rRNA from 1 species
GACGAACGCUGGCGGCGUGCCUAAUACAUGCAAGUAGAACGCUGAAGAGAGGAGCUUGCUCUUCUUGGAUGAGUUGCGAACGGGUGAGUAACGCGUAGGUAACCUGCCUUGUAGCGGGGGAUAACUAUUGGAAACGAUAGCUAAUACCGCAUAACAAUGGAUGACUCAUGUCAUUUAUUUGAAAGGGGCAAAUGCUCCACUACAAGAUGGACCUGCGUUGUAUUAGCUAGUAGGUGAGGUAACGGCUCACCUAGGCGACGAUACAUAGCCGACCUGAGAGGGUGAUCGGCCACACUGGGACUGAGACACGGCCCAGACUCCUACGGGAGGCAGCAGUAGGGAAUCUUCGGCAAUGGGGGCAACCCUGACCGAGCAACGCCGCGUGAGUGAAGAAGGUUUUCGGAUCGUAAAGCUCUGUUGUAAGUCAAGAACGAGUGUGAGAGUGGAAAGUUCACACUGUGACGGUAGCUUACCAGAAAGGGACGGCUAACUACGUGCCAGCAGCCGCGGUAAUACGUAGGUCCCGAGCGUUGUCCGGAUUUAUUGGGCGUAAAGCGAGCGCAGGCGGUUUGAUAAGUCUGAAGUUAAAGGCUGUGGCUCAACCAUAGUUCGCUUUGGAAACUGUCAAACUUGAGUGCAGAAGGGGAGAGUGGAAUUCCAUGUGUAGCGGUGAAUGCGUAGAUAUAUGGAGGAACACCGGUGGCGAAAGCGGCUCUCUGGUCUGUAACUGACGCUGAGGCUCGAAAGCGUGGGGAGCGGACAGG